UGGCAGAAAUAACUAUGCCUGAACCUUAAAUUGUCAUAUGAUUUUUGAUGUCUUUGGGGAAUUUGUUCUGAAAAAAAUAUAGUUGUCCCCCUCGUGUAUUUUCUUGACAGAGAAAAACAGAUGAGCAGCGGAUCUGGAGAACAAGCAAAAACAGGAUAUCAUGGAGUUGAGGAAUCGACUCACUGAAUUGAAGAGAAAAACUGCCGUAGACAAGACAGAGGUCGAGCAGGCAUCGAGUGAUCUUAAGGCAAAAACUGUGCCAUUGAAUUUGGCUCUUGUCACGCUAAAAAAGAGACGAGCUGAUGCAGUGGCCAUGCACACCAAUGCCAUGAAAGUUGCUCAGAUGAAUCUCAUGGCAACCACCUCAGAUUGUAUGAAAAUGCAAUCAAAAUCUGUAAAGCAACUUUGCAGAUUGUUCCCAAUGCGACGAGUAAGUUUCUACAUGCAUAUAUACUCUUGUGAAGUUGUGAUCCAGGGUUGACGUCCUCACCUGUCAAGAUUCAACUUAGAUCAUAUUUGGAGAAUGUUGUUUGGGAUAGUUUGCGACAGUUUUCCAUGUUAACGUCAUAAGUUAAUUGUAUUAUAUCACUACUACUCAUUGUUUUUAGCAGGCGUAACGGGAUUUUAAAAGGUCAAACUUCAUAAAUUUUGACCAACAAUUAGUCAAACCAUAGGGAUGCUUAAUGAAGGUCUUAACUCUUUGCCGAUUUGCAAUUAAUGGUGUCUCUCCAAAUCCCUGUAAAGUGUCGCAGUCUGUGUUUAAUGAAGGUUCUUUGUGUUCUGCAGCGGGGGUGAAUCAUCUUCAUAUGCUCUUUCUUCCUGAGUUAUUUGUUUUUCUUGGGAUUGGCUGUCUUAUCUUUCCUGGUGUGUGAGUUCUGAGUUGUAACUGUGAGGCAGUUAGGCCUUAGGGCAUGCAUAAGAACACCCUUUUUCUUCUUCAUUAAUGAAAUGAUAUACAUGGUUUCCUGCAUGUUCACCAAAAAAACUUAUGGGUGUUUAAUGUAUAAAAGUUAUAUGAAUAGAUUUGUGUUUCACACUGUUAGUAUGACAUUGAUUUUGUAUCAGCUGAAGAUAUUUUAGUGGUCAAAGUAUCCCUCUAAAGACUUUCUCAAAUCCUAAUACACUUACUAAAUACAAACAGUGGGAGUGCCUAAAAUGAGGGUGUGUCUUUAAUUAUCUUUUGAUAUUCUUUAAUCUUUACUACUAUUAAGGCUGUAAGGGGUAGGCUGCCUCCUUGUGUUCUGCCUUUUCUUCAUUUCCUGUUUUGCCCUCCUGCCCGCGCACCUCACCUGCCCGCGUCACCUCCUCCCCUGUCCUCCGCGCGCGUUGGGCGGGCAGCCAACUCCCCCACCAAAGCCUAAUCACUCCGGCGCCGUGCCGCGCCGCGCGGACCUGCCUCGAUCCGCUCCAGCGGCCGCCCGCCGAGGCGACUGUGCGGUGGUUGCGCUUGCGCUUUCACGCGCAGGUCUCCGUGGGUCUCUACGCGCAGCAGGACCCGUCCACGGCGGCGAGGCGCGGGCUUCAAGGCGGGCGCAGGCGGAGGGGCAGAAUUGCUCGGGCGAUGACACGGAGGCUCGCGGCCACGGCUUCGCAUCCGAGGCCGUGAAUGGGAGUGGCGGAGCGCUGCGGGCGGCGGCUGCGUACAUGGAGGCUGGGGCACCGCCCCUGAUUUGGAUGAUUUUGGAUCUGGUUCUCACGUGCAUCUGAGCUUGUGGGAGAACGAUCAGAAUGUUUUUAUGGGGUCAAGUAAAGAUAACUUUCAUGGAAUGUCAAAAACUGGAGAACAGUUCCUUGCUGGAGUGUAUCAUCACCUUCCGUCAAUAUUGGCAUUUACCGCUCCUCACCCAAACAGCUACGACCGGAUUCAGCCAGAUACUUGGAGUGGAGCUUAUCUAUGCUGGGGGAAAGAGAACAAGGAGGCUCCAUUAAGAACCGCAUGCCCACCUGGUGUGCCUCUUGAUUUAGUCAGCAACUUCGAGAUCAAAUCCUUCGAUGGUUGCGCAAAUCCGCACUUGGGUCUUGCUGCUAUCGUAGCUGCUGGCAUCGAUGGGCUAAGAAGACACCUUACCUGAGCCAAUUGAAUCAAACCCUUCUGAUCACUCUUCAAAACUGAAAAGGCUACCGCAGAACCUGCAGGAAUCUGUAGAAUCACUUUCUGCAGAUAAGGUUUUGCAUGAGUUAAUUGGUGAUAAACUUGUCACAACUGCUAUAGUUAUACGGAAGGUGGCUGAGGGACCCAGGAGUUGUGGGGCGUCAAAGAUAAUCGGCAUGGAAUUUAGUAGUUUAUAACAGUGCCUGAAGGAGCUAGGAUUUAUGAAUCAUUCUCCACCACCUUGAGGUUUGGUUGACAUGAACAAACCUCCUGAAAUGAUAUCUGGCAAUAUGAAGGUAGGUAGGUGGAUUACUAGGGAUUGUCUCAAAGUGCCUAUUUGACGGGUCACAUCAAACUGUCGUUGAUGCUUAUGUUUUUAUGCAACCAUGUGUGUGUAUUCUGAAUUGUUUGUGAGGUUUUCAUGGAUGGUACAUCCCCGAAAUAAUUGUAGCAGAAGGAAGCAGAUUUAUAGGUCAGCAAACUCGUUUGAAAGAAAAAGACCUAGAAAGGGAACUCUUGGCCAAGCUUUUGGUGUACUUGUGCACAGCUCAAGAGCACUUGCUGAGCCAGAGGCAGCUACUCCAGGGGUAUGGUCCAUAUAUUUUGUACAUAACCGAACUUUUUUCAAUAGUUGGUGACUUGGUUCCAAUGUUCUGUUUUCAAUA